rnacentral:rRNA from 1 species
UACGUAGGGUGCAAGCGUUGUCCGGAAUUAUUGGGCGUAAAGAGCUCGUAGGCGGUUUGUCGCGUCUGCUGUGAAAACUCGGGGCUUAACUCCGGGCCUGCAGUGGGUACGGGCAGACUAGAGUGCGGUAGGGGAGACUGGAAUUCCUGGUGUAGCGGUGAAAUGCGCAGAUAUCUGGAGGAACACCGGUGGCGAAGGCGGCAUCCUGGACCGGCAUUGACGCUGAGGCGCGAAAGCCAGGGGAGCAAACGGG